GAUGAACGCUGGCGGCGUGCCUAAUACAUGCAAGUCGAGCGAACAGACGAGGAGCUUGCUCCUCUGACGUUAGCGGCGGACGGGUGAGUAACACGUGGAUAACCUACCUAUAAGACUGGGAUAACUUCGGGAAACCGGAGCUAAUACCGGAUAAUAUAUUGAACCGCAUGGUUCAAUAGUGAAAGACGGUUUUGCUGUCACUUAUCGAUGGAUCCGCGCCGCAUUAGCUAGUUGGUAAGGUAACGGCUUACCAAGGCGACGAUGCGUAGCCGACCUGAGAGGGUGAUCGGCCACACUAGAAAUGAGACACGGUCCAGACUCCUACGGGAGGAAGCAGUAGGAAAUCUUCCGCAAUGGGCGAAAGCCUGACGGAGCAAAGGCGCGUGAGUGAUGAAGGUCUUCGGAUCGGAAAACUCUGUUAUAAGGGAAGAACAAAUGUGUAAGUAACUAUGCACGUCUUGACGGUACCGUAUCAGAAAGCCACGGCUAACUACGUG
rnacentral:rRNA from 1 species